UUUGCUAUUAGAAUAUAUGGAAGGUUUCAGACCGACUUGCACCAGCAACACAGAAGACUAAUGUUACUAUGAUUGAAAGGGUAGACUUCCAUGAUAGCGAUGCUUUCCCCUGCUUUUCCUUUUUCAACUUAAUGAAAAGGUUUUAUGUGAUAUAUUGGCGGAUAAUAAUGGUAUUAAGAAACUCCAGGGGGUGUACUCUGAUCACAAUCGACGAGGGCUGUUGUUUCUAUGGGUUUAGGACUUCAAAGAUUUAUGUACAACUUCCCCAAAUUAUGUUAAUCUCUCCUCCGAUUGAGCCCCACCAUAUACAUAGGACUACUGAUGCCAAUUUUGCCCUUGCCCUAAGAUCUGGAAAUUCGUUGAUGUGUAUAAGCCUUUCUUUAGACCCCAAAAGACGAUCUUCGUUUGCCUAACUUGCCACCAGAUUCCGAUACUGUACAAAUUUUUCGACUUGGGAAAGGUCUUUGGAAAUGUUGCUGCUGUAGAGAUAUAUCCAAAUUCACGAGGGAUCAACCGAUUCUCGCUGUUUUCUGUGAGCCGGGUGUGGCAAAAGUGAAUGUCAUCUAUUGGAUUGCAACACAGAUAAUGAAUAAGGAGAGUUUAAGCCGUUUGAUAAUUGUAGUACAAAAUCUCCUUAUGGUAUAUCUUAAUAGUUAUUUUUUUGGGAUUAUUGGUCAGUGAUUUAAUAUACUGUGGUGUUUAUGUUAAAGAAAUACCACUUUACUUUAUUUAUGUUUGAAUUUUUUUUUCAGGGGGAGAAAUGAGACCACUAACUUAGAAGAAAAUAACAAAAAAAAUCAUACGAUGAGGCUGUUGUGCUAUUUGUCAAGGUUCUCUUGCAAUUGAUGUAGAAGUGAUCUUUACUUUUAUAAAGGGUACUUUAGAGUGACCUUAGAGAUUUGGUUGGGAGUUGAUGUAUGACACCAUGGUUUGAUUUAUAUUUUGAUUUGUAUCUUAUGGAGGAAAAGAGGUAUUUUAUGUCUCAUGUGUAGACUUUUUGUAUAUACCUUUUUUAUUUGUAAUAUACUAACAUUUCAUGAUGGUUCUAUUUCUAUUGCUCCUCAAUUGAAAGAGGUUGAUAAA